rnacentral:misc_RNA from 1 species
UGGUAUUGUUGCUACCUGAU